rnacentral:tRNA from 1 species
GGAAUAGUUGGCAAUACUUGAUAUCAACUAACAAACCUCAGUACGGACUUGAAAUCCGGUGAAGCCGAAAGGUGUCUGGGUUCGAGUCCCAGUCUCUCCGCCA